rnacentral:rRNA from 1 species
UGAAGAGUUUGAUCCUGGCUCAGGAUGAACGCUAGCGGCAGGCUUAACACAUGCAAGUCGAGGGGUAAGGUAGCAAUAUCUGAGACCGGCGCACGGGUGCGUAACGCGUAUGCAAUCUACCUUUUGCAGAGGGAUAGCCCAGAGAAAUUUGGAUUAAUACCUCAUAGUAUAGUACCUUCGCAUGGAGGAACUAUUAAAGUCACAACGGCAAAAGAUGAGCAUGCGUCCCAUUAGUUAGUUGGUAAGGUAACGGCUUACCAAGACAGCGAUGGGUAGGGGUCCUGAGAGGGAGAUCCCCCACACUGGUACUGAGACACGGACCAGACUCCUACGGGAGGCAGCAGUGAGGAAUAUUGGACAAUGGGCGCAAGCCUGAUCCAGCCAUGCCGCGUGCAGGAAGACGCAUCUAUGGUGUGUAAACUGCUUUUGUACGGGAAGAAACACUCCCUCGUGAGGGAGCUUGACGGUACCGUAAGAAUAAGGAUCGGCUAACUCCGUGCCAGCAGCCGCGGUAAUACGGAGGAUCCAAGCGUUAUCCGGAAUCAUUGGGUUUAAAGGGUCCGUAGGCGGUUUGGUAAGUCAGUGGUGAAAGCCCAUCGCUUAACGAUGGAACGGCCAUUGAUACUGCCAGACUUGAAUUACUAGGAAGUAACUAGAAUAUGUAGUGUAGCGGUGAAAUGCUUAGAUAUUACAUGGAAUACCAAUUGCGAAGGCAGGUUACUACUAGUGGAUUGACGCUGAUGGACGAAAGCGUGGGGAGCGAACAGGAUUAGAUACCCUGGUAGUCCACGCCGUAAACGAUGGAUACUAGCUGUUCGGAGCAAUCUGAGUGGCUAAGCGAAAGUGAUAAGUAUCCCACCUGGGGAGUACGUUCGCAAGAAUGAAACUCAAAGGAAUUGACGGGGGCCCGCACAAGCGGUGGAGCAUGUGGUUUAAUUCGAUGAUACGCGAGGAACCUUACCAAGGCUUAAAUGUAGAUUGACCGUUUUGGAAACAGAACUUUCGCAAGACAAUUUACAAGGUGCUGCAUGGUUGUCGUCAGCUCGUGCCGUGAGGUGUCAGGUUAAGUCCUAUAACGAGCGCAACCCCUGUUGUUAGUUGCCAGCGAGUCAUGUCGGGAACUCUAACAAGACUGCCAGUGUAAACUGUGAGGAAGGUGGGGAUGACGUCAAAUCAUCACGGCCCUUACGCCUUGGGCUACAC